UACACUUGGUACCACUACUUUUGGACAGUGGGUUAAUGUCCAAAAACUGUUAUUAGACUGUUAUUGUUGAAUUGCUAUGUGUAGCCUGGGUAGACCUACCAGUUUUAGCUAGCAUUCCACGGAGUUACAAGGAGUGGAAUGUUAGCUAAAAAGACUGUUACCCAAGACUAGUGUAAGAGCACAAGGCUAUAUCUCACUUUCAAGAAAGAAUUCUGAACACACAUCAUUUUCAAUAGCUGCCUUUGAAGUUUUAUAGGCAAUUUCUUUGGACAUUGUAGUUAUGAUCUUUGGCCUUUUUCAGAUGUUUCAUGUAAUAAUUAAUUGUAGCCCACAACUGAAGAAUCCCAUUUCAUGGAACUUCUGGACUUUAUUGAAUAAAGUAAAACAGUUAUUUUAGGCCUACAUAUUGUUGUUUAAAAGAAACCCUUCUUCUCCACCAAAUGUCUACCCCUGGCCCUUGCAGCUUCUCUUUGAUAUUGUUCAACUGACACACACACACACACGCACCACCCUGGGCAGAACAUGUUUCUCUCACAACUUUGACAUGGGGCUGUCUUUUAUCCUCCAUGUUUCCCAGCGUCUCUGUGCUCCUCCAGAUCCCCCGGGUUCCGCUGCUACCCACCCCAGCCAAAUGACACCCCGCUGGGGCUACAGCAGAGGUCUCUCCCCGAAUAGACGGCUCUACAUCCACAGAGGUGUUCAUGGAAUGCAUAGGUCUAAUUGGGGUCCUGAGAGGCACAGCGGUCAAAGGCACUGCAUCUCAGUGCUUGAUGCGUCACUACAGCCACCCAGGUUCGAUUACAGGCUGUAUCACAUCUGGCCGUGAUCGGGAGUCCUAUAGCAUCGUCCGGGGUAGACCUUCAUUGUGAAUAGGAAUUUGUUCUUAACUGACUUGCCUAGCUAAAUAAAGGUAAAAAAAUGCAUCAGG